rnacentral:lncRNA from 1 species
CCGGGUAGCGGGAGAAAUAAAGAACCAAGAUAAGGCGCCACGGGCUGCCCUAGACAGAGCAAAUAGAGCUGGGGUUCCAAGGGGGGGUGGGGACGGGGGAGAAGAGUGGGGAAAAUGUCAAGGCGCGCAUGCGCGCUCUUCUCAGGUGAGGCGACCGACCUGUGGGCGCAGCUGCGCGGAGGGUGAGGAAGGCUGCCGAGGCGGAAAGAGGGCGCGUGUCUGGUUACUAGGAGACCAGACGCUGGUGUCGCGGGGAAGGGGAGGGGGCAGCUUUUGAACCACGAGAGGGAGGCUGAAUGGGGGGGCUGGCGCGAAGGCGGAAUCGCGGGCACGCGCCGAGGGUGCGAGCUCGUUGGAAGGGCGGGUGAGCAGGUAGACGUGUACGUCACUAGCUGUGAGUGCGUGGCUGGCAGCGUGCCUCCUAGUAAGUAGGCGUACGGGCGCUAGAGGGUCGAGCCCAGUCGAGUGCACGCGGGCCGCGGGAGUGAGCCAGAGCGAGGGCGCCACGGCCGUGGAGGAGGUGGAGGAGGAGCCCCCCGCAGGUACGCAGGCGUGUGGGCGGGGCCCGGCGGUUAGCACCGCCUCCUCCUCCGCCCUGCCCCGCCUCCCGUUUCCCUUCUCCACCUGGGCGGGGCCGGGUUGAUUUGGGUGUUGGGAAGGGCGACUACGAGGGGGAACGGGAAGGGGAAGGAGGCAGGGCCUGGCCGCCGCCCGCGGGGACUAGCGCCUGGAUGAGUGGGGGAGGCCUUCAGUUCUGACCGGAAAGGCUGUGAGGACGGGGAGAAUCUGAGUGGGUGUCCCGCCCCCCCCGUCCUCUCCCUCUGGGGACUCCGGGAGGAGGGAGGAGGGCCCCCCCACCUGCUUGGAGUCGGGGGGGCGGGGCGGGGGAGGAGGUCCGAGGGGAGGAGGUCCGAGGGGAGGAGGAGGUGGUCCGGGCGGAGGCGGUCUCUCGGGAGCCCAGGGCCAAGCCCAGUUCCUAUGGUGACCGCUUCACUUCUUCCCGCGUCUCUUGGCUGGGCUGUUGGGAAGGCUGCUCUAGGAGGGGCGCGUCUGGGGAGAGGUUACCACCAAAGAACAUGAUUUUGGCCUAGGGGCUCCAAUAAAAAAAGCUGAGAAAUAUCGUAAUACUCCCCA